rnacentral:rRNA from 1 species
AUUGAACGCUGGCGGCAUGCCUUACACAUGCAAGUCGAACGGCAGCAUGGAGAGCUUGCUCUCUGAUGGCGAGUGGCGAACGGGUGAGUAAAGCAUCGGAACGUACCGUGUAGUGGGGGAUAACGUAGCGAAAGUUACGCUAAUACCGCAUACGCACUGAGGUGGAAAGCAGGGGAUCGCAAGACCUUGCGCUAUACGAGCGGCCGAUGUCAGAUUAGCUAGUUGGUAGGGUAAAGGCCUACCAAGGCGACGAUCUGUAGCGGGUCUGAGAGGAUGAGCCGCCACACUGGGACUGAGACACGGCCCAGACUCCUACGGGAGGCAGCAGUGGGGAAUUUUGGACAAUGGGGGAAACCCUGAUCCAGCCAUGCCGCGUGAGUGAAGAAGGCCUUCGGGUUGUAAAACUCUGUUGUUAGGGAAGAACGAGUGCUAGUUGAAUAAGCUGGCACCUUGACGGUACCUAACCAGAAAGCCACGGCUAACUACGUGCCAGCCGCCGCGGUAA